rnacentral:rRNA from 1 species
AGUCUGCAACUCGACUGCAUGAAGCUGGAAUCGCUAGUAAUCGCGAAUCAGCAUGUCGCGGUGAAUACGUUCCCGGGUCUUGUACACACCGCCCGUCACACCAUGGGAGUCGGAAAUGCCCGAAGCCAGUGACCCAACCUUUAAGGAGGGAGCUGUCGAAGGCAGGUCUGGUAACUGGGGUGAAGUCGUAACAAGGUAAC